rnacentral:rRNA from 1 species
AGGACGAACGCUGGCGGCGUGCUUAACACAUGCAAGUCGAACGGAAAGGCCCGCUUGCGGGUACUCGAGUGGCGAACGGGUGAGUAACACGUGGGCAACCUGCCCUCAGCUUCGGGAUAACACUUGGAAACAGGUGCUAAUACCGGAUAAUAACCUUUCAUCGCAUGGUGUGGGGUUCAAAGUUUUUCGGCUGGGGAUGGGCCCGCGGCCUAUCAGCUUGUUGGUGGGGUAAUGGCCUACCAAGGCGACGACGGGUAGCCGGCCUGAGAGGGCGACCGGCCACACUGGGACUGAGACACGGCCCAGACUCCUACGGGAGGCAGCAGUGGGGAAUAUUGCGCAAUGGGCGGAAGCCUGACGCAGCGACGCCGCGUGAGGGAUGACGGCCUUCGGUUGUAAACCUCUUUCAGCUCUGACGAAGCGCAAGUGACGGUAGGAGCAGAAGAGCACGGCCACUACGCGCAGCAGCCGCGGUAA